CCUACGGGUGGCUGCAGUGGGGGAUCUUUGACAAUGGGGGGAACCCUGAUCCUGCGACGCCGCGUGAGUGAAGAAGUAUCUCGGUAUGUAAAGCCCUUUCCGCAGGGAAGAAAGAAAUGACGGUACUUGCCCAAGAAGCCCCGGCUAAUUACGCUCCAGCAGCCGCGGUAAUACGGAGGGGGCAAGCGUUAUUCGGAAGUACUGGGUGUAAAGGGAGCGUAGACGGUUAAGUAAGUCUGGAGUGAAAGGCCGGGGCCCAACCCCGGGACUGCUCUGGAAACUAUUGGACUAGAGUGCAGGAGAGGUAAGCGGAAUUCCUGGUGUAGCAGUGAAAUGCGUAGAUAUUAGGAGGAACACCAGUGGCGAAGGCGGGUUACUGGACUGUAACUGACGUUGAGGCUCGAAAGCGUGGGGAGCAAACAGGAUUAGAUACCCUUGUAGUC
rnacentral:rRNA from 1 species